rnacentral:lncRNA from 1 species
GCUGACUCGGACUUCAACUCCAAACAGACACCCAAUACAGUUCAUAUUUGUAACAGAUACCAUCCUCUGUCACAGGUUUUGUUGUUGGAUUCUUGUUGCUGUGGGAAAACAACAUGCACCAACGGAAGUGGAUGAGCUGGGUUGUGUUGGUGGACCUUUUGUGGACUUAUCUUUCAGCUAGAGAAAGUCCGACCCAAAUCUCAGACUGUUUCAGAGAGGGAAGCAAAAGUCUGCUGGUCACUGAGAACUUCUAUUGCUUCCUCAGUGCAGAGAAGUUUUUGCCAAAUGGAGCGUUAGUCGGAGGUGAUUGCAUUGUGUUCGUUCAGGGAAAUGCUACGAAACAAAGAAUAUUAAACAAGUGGUGGCCACAAGUGCAGGAAGACCCACCUCGGCUUUACAUUUCCAAACUGCACACCAACACAAACUCCUCUUUCUUUGUUCAGCUUGGGAGCAACUGCAAAGACAUGGAUGACUUUCAAGAUUCAGACAGUGUCUGCAGUCCCAGCCAUGAAGGUGAGAUUUCUUUGUAGAAUUAUGAAUACACAGAUCAGUCCCCUCUAGUGCCUGAGACACAUCACACAAACUAAUUAUACUAUAUAUCUCUAUGGGAUUGGACCACGUAUUCUACUUUGUGCAUUUGAUAUCAAUAACUGCAGGUUCAAAGAAUUUCCUCUGGUUAAACUCAAACUUUUACACAUGC